rnacentral:rRNA from 1 species
GACGAACGCUGGCGGCGUGCUUAACACAAGCAAGUCGAACGGAAAGGCCCUGCUUUUGUGGGGUGCUCGAGUGGCGAACGGGUGAGUAACACGUGAGUAACCUGCCCUUGACUUUGGGAUAACUUCAGGAAACUGGGGCUAAUACCGGAUAGGAGCUCCUGCUGCAUGGUGGGGGUUGGAAAGUUUCGGCGGUUGGGGAUGGACUCGCGGCUUAUCAGCUUGUUGGUGGGGUAGUGGCUUACCAAGGCUUUGACGGGUAGCCGGCCUGAGAGGGUGACCGGCCACAUUGGGACUGAGAUACGGCCCAGACUCCUACGGGAGGCAGCAGUGGGGAAUAUUGCACAAUGGGCGGAAGCCUGAUGCAGCAACGCCGCGUGCGGGAUGACGGCCUUCGGGUGGUAAACCGCUUUCGCCUGUGACGAAGCGUGAGUGACGGUAAUGGGUAAAGAAGCACCGGCUAACUACGU